GCGAUGUGUGGUGACCUGAGGUCUUAAGCCUUUUCCCUGCUCACCUAAGGAAAUUUGUGUAUCCCUGUCCUGUGCUUUCUUUACGCAAGGGUAAUGCGGCUGUGUAUGUGGCACUAUCAGAUACCAGACAUGAGUGUCUUUUUCUCAGUUUAUUGGCGUGCGCUACGGUUUCUUGCAGUUACAGCUAUUGGAGCGCAAAUGCGUGUAAUUUUUCGCUGCUCUUUUCUUAUUUUCUCUACUUUUUAUGUAGAACAAAGCCUCCUGCGUAAAAGCUGAAUAGUGUUGUACCAGUGGAAGUGGGGUUGUUUGUUUUAUUUUGUUCGAUAUCUUGACGAAGUAAGCAGUGCUUAAUUUUGCAGAUUUUUGAGCAGAAAUGCUGGUAUCUGAGCACGGAGUAGAUAUAUUUCUCUGCUCCUUAAGAAAAUUUGUACGUCGUUUUCCAAGCCGACCGCGUUUAGUUUACGCGAAAUAGAAAAAUGAAGUUGUGUAUGCUCUAUGAUGAUCCGCCGCGGGCUUAGGCCUUUUCCCCGAUGAGCAGUGUUUUGUAUGCGAUGUCGCAUGUCUGGACUUGUUCAGUAGUGUUGCAAUUUUUAUCCUUUAAUAUCUUGUUGCUGCCGUCUUGUGUUAGACGUUGAGCUUCGUAGCAAUGUGCGGUAACGCUACGAUUAUUCCUGAGCGCUCCGUGUGUUUAAUGCGUUGUCCUCUGUGCGUGCAUGCGUGUGCUUUUUUUCCUGAUUUGUGACGUCAUCGUGGCAUGUCUGGACUUGUUUAGCAGUGUUGCAGUUCUUCCCGCCGCUAGUAUGUUGUUGGUGUCAUGUUGUGUUAGCCGCGUGGCGAUGUGUGGUGACCUGAGGUUUUAAGCCUUUUCCCUGCUCACCUAAGGAUAUUUGUGUAUCCCUGUCCUGUGCUUUCUUUACGCAAGGGCAAUGCGUCUGUGUAUGUGGCACUAUCAGAUACCAGACAUGUGUGUCUUUUUCUCAGUGUAUUGGCGUGCGCUACGGUUUCUUGCAGUUACAGCUAUUGGGGCACAAAUGCGUGUAAUUUUUCGCGGUUCUUUUCUCCUUUCAAGGCUUUUACUCAGAAUGUAGAUGAGGGGAAACAGUCAGCAUCCAGGUAGAGCAGGAGAAAGCCGCUCGGCAGAGGAGAGUUCAUGAGAAUGGAAUUUUUUUUUUUUGUUAUAUGUUGAGUGUCAGUAUUCGCUUUCCUCGAUAUGUUGAGGAAGUCAGCCGUUAUAGGUAUUUGUGCAGAAAUGCUGGUAUCUGAGUGUGUGGAGUAGAAAUUCCUAUAAAGCACCUCUCCUUGUGCAUUCCUGAGCUGCUGUGUGUGCGCGCGUGCUUCUUUUUCCUGGUUUGCGACGUCAUGAUGACAUGUUGGGGCUUGUUUAGCAGUGUUGCAAUUUUACCCGCCGCUAUUAUCUUAUUAUUUGUGUUAGCCGCGUAGCGAUGUCCAGUGACUCUGCUAUUAUUCCUGAGGUCUUAAGCCUUUUCCCUGCUCACCUAAGGAAAGUUGUGUAUCCCUGUCCUGUGCUUUCUUUGCGACAAUGCGUCUGUGUAUGUGGCACUAUCAGAUAGCAGACAUGAGUGUCUUUUUCUUGGUUUAUUGGCAUAUGCUUCAGGUUUUUGAAGUCAAGCACAAGUGCGCGCAAUUUUUCGCUGCUCUCUUCCUCAAAUCACCGAUUUUACGCAGAAGAAAGUCGCAUGGUACAGCUGAGAAGAGGGUUUCUCUGAUUGUUUGUUUGAUUUUGUUGGGUGUUCGAUAUGUUGAGGAAGUCAGCUGUUAAAGGUAUCCGUGAAGAAAUGCUUGCACCUGAGCGCAGGAUAGGAAUUCCUGAAGCACGGCACCCUCAGUGUAAAUUAAUUAUUUUGGAUGUGAGUCUGCUUCACUGCAUGACAAGGCUGAAAUGGGAACAGAGAAAAAAUUGGAGCGCUUCAUUAAUAGCGAUCCAAGUAAUAGGGCAAUUAUAGUUUCCAUAGAAAGUUGGGCUCCUAAGAUUAUAGUUUUGUAGUAGUUUUUCUAAACUGCAAUGCAAUAAUCAUUAAUAUAGUAUAGGAAUGCUAUCGUGUUCCCGUAAAGGCGUUCUGUCUUGUGCUUUGGAAUGCGCGAAUAGAACUUUGCUCGCAGCCUUUCCCGCCUUUAUGCUCGCAAUGCGCGAAUGGAACUUUGCCCACCCGGCUUCCGCGCCUUUUUUGCUCGCAGGUGUAGCCUCAGACAACGAAUGUAUGAGCAUAGAAAGGGUCAUGUAUUACAUAAGCCUGGAGGUGAUGUUGAGUGGUCUCACUUAUUAUUUUAAAAGAGCAGUGGCAGUUUACUGUAAUUCUAAUGACCAUGAUGAGCCUUUGGGGUGAAAAUCGUUAAUAUGCGGGGUGCUUUUUGUUGAAUUUUAAUGAGAGGAUCAAUGUCAUUAAGAGUAGGACAAAGGAAAUAAUCUUGCGGUUCAAUAAUUAAUAGGAGUCUUUGCCGCUGUCUUCUUCUUCAGACAGGAUGUGAUGACGUCACGCAGUCUGUAGCAAUGCAUUGACCGUCACUGGAAAAAAAGUGUAGCAAUAGAAAAAUGGUGUGUAUUGCCCUGGACGGAUUUAUGAUGUGCACUGUUUUUGAACAAGAGGAGUGCGUGUGCUUGGAAAUAGUUUGAUGCUGGUUUCCUUCUUUGUUUCUUUUCGCUUUUUCCCCCCUUGUCUGACAAACAUGUGCUGACAUGCCUGGGCUUGUUCUGACAUGCUUUCCUUCUGCAUGUAGUUUUUUUUCUUUUUGUACAAGGCAUAUUCUUGACGAUAGUGCUGCCUUGAAUGGGAGUAGAGCUAUUCUUAAUAAUUUUGCGAUUCAUUUAGUUCAGAGAGUAACCGCGAGGGGGACAGGUGUGUGACUUUAUGUCUUGCUGAACCAUUUUUUUUCCUGUACAGUAAGACUUUGGGAAUGAAAUGCUACAAUCUCCUCUUGUCUAUGGUGUUUUUCUGCAAUAGUUCCCUACGCAAUCAUUAUAGUAGAAUAAAGGAAAUAAUCUAGGGAUAGUGAUUCAAUAAAUAACAGGUGCCCUGUCUAGAGCGUACGCGUCCUUGAGCCACGCACCUGCAUGACGACCGCAUACCGAGAGACUAUUGUUUCAGGUUGACCUUGUCUAGAGGAGCAUUAGUGGAAAAAAACUGUGUAGCCCUGAGACAAUAGGAUGACGUCACGACCAAUGAGAACGGCCUGCAGGGGGCGCAAGGAUUCACUUCUCUCUUGGACACUGACGGGUCUCGACACGCAAAUUCUGCUCCUGGCGUUGGCCGUCAGUGGAAGAGCGUAGCUUCGGUGGGGUUCUGUCUGCCGCUGAUGGGGUGCGGAUGUGUGGUUCGUCACUGGUGAAUGGUGUUCGACGAUGCAGGUGGAUUUUGUGACGAGCGGAUUUACAAUGAGGGAAUGCUGUGAACGGGAAAAAUGAUGAGCUGUCCUAACUUGCCCAGACAUGCCAUGAUGACGUCACAGCUGACGUCACAGGAUGUCCGGAACUUGUGGUCAUAGCUGGGAUGCUUUGCAACCUGCCUCUGUGCUCCGUCGCCCGGCGAUGGUCAGCGGCCUUUCCGGGCCGCUUCCUUCAAGAUGGCGUCGUUGAUCUUCAACUAAACUCCUUCUCUCCACUCUAUCUCUAUCUAUUUUUUUAUUUUUUAUGACCACGUUUAUCCGGAAACGCACAGGGUGGUCUGGACACUAGUUAGACGCUCCCCAAUUAGUGUGAUGACUCAUUGGAUGAUGCUGAUUAAUGUGGGGGUUCCCAAUUAGCUCUAAUUGCUAAUUAAUGGCGUCCAGAAGCCUUGUAGCGUUUCCGGAUAAGCGUGGUCAGUACUUACUACUGAUGAUCACCUCGAUCUUUCGUCCUAUCCCACUGAUCAUCCACUCUAUAGCAAUAAAAAUAAAGGGGCAUUGUUCUACUUCGAGGAUGAGACUGGAGGUAGGAUAAUUGAAGAGGUGGUUGCUCUGAAAGCAAAAAUGUAUUCUAUCCGAUUGAGUGACGAUAGUCAAAUUGCUAGAGCAAAAGGUGUUAAGAAAAGUAUUGCUCGUAGGGAAUUGCAUCACGAUGUAUAUAAAGAUGUUUUGUUUAAUAGUGUGAAGGUAAGUCAUCCACAAAGGACCAUAUGUAGUAAGCGCCAAUGUAUGUAUACAAUGGAAACAACUAAGCUUGCACUCAUGCCAUAUGAUGAUAAGAGAUACCUCUUUAAUGCCAUUGAGACAUACCCAUAUGGAAGCUGUGAAAUUGGUAAUGAGUAAGUAUAUUCUUUAUUAUGUGUAUUGUGUUUCUUCUGUUACAGGUCGUGAAGGUUUUUCGGCUGGGUUUUUCUCCUACACCUGAUUGGCAUCACAAUUGGCACAAUUCCCAGCACAAUUGGCUUUAAUAAAUAUAUCUCAACUUGAUUGGCAUUACAAUUGGCAUUAAUAAAUAUAUUUUCACUUGUA